rnacentral:miRNA from 1 species
GUAUGUUUACCAUGUGCAUGUAGGUUCCUACAGAGGACAGAAAGGGGCAUCAGAUCCCUAGAAACCAGAAUUGCAAGUGGGUGUGAACUGAUUUCUGGAUGUUAGGAACUGAACCUGCAUUCUCUCUACAA